rnacentral:Y_RNA from 1 species
GGCUGGUCUGAAGGUAGUGAAUUACCCCACUUGAUUGUUCACAGAUCGAACUCCCUGUUCUUCUCUUUCCCCCUUCUUGCUACCGCACUGGACUGGCCUUAA